GUUGAUAGGUUGGAUGUGGAAGCAUAGUGAUAUGUGAAGCUGACCAAUACUAAUUGCUCGUGAGGCUUGACUAU
rnacentral:rRNA from 1 species